UUUGAGGGGAAUGUUGUCUGGCUCGAAGUCAUUAUUUCUUCUCGAUCAUCUAGCUCGAAUCCAUCAAGUUGAAAAUUUUGAAUUUGGAGAAUAGAUGAUCGCGAUGAGAUGGUGUCUUCGGACCAGGCUUCAUUCCCCCCAAU
rnacentral:pre_miRNA from 1 species